rnacentral:rRNA from 1 species
UGACCCGCCAACGGGGAGCAGCGGCCCAAGGUAUGAUUCAUGAUUGGGGUG